ACGAACGCUGGCGGCGUGCCUAAUACAUGCAAGUCGAACGCUUCUUUCCUCCCGAGUGCUUGCACUCAAUUGGAAAGAGGAGUGGCGGACGGGUGAGUAACACGUGGGUAACCUACCCAUCAGAGGGGGAUAACACUUGGAAACAGGUGCUAAUACCGCAUAACAGUUUAUGCCGCAUGGCAUAAGAGUGAAAGGCGCUUUCGGGUGUCGCUGAUGGAUGGACCCGCGGUGCAUUAGCUAGUUGGUGAGGUAACGGCUCACCAAGGCCACGAUGCAUAGCCGACCUGAGA
rnacentral:rRNA from 1 species